rnacentral:ncRNA from 1 species
UGAAAAACUAUGAUCAGGAGAAGUAGUUAGAUUUGGAGCUUUAAGAGAGCGGUCUCUAGGGUGUAAGGGCUGCAGUGAGAAUUUAGCGAAGAUCACCUGGGAGUUGGCGGCUGAAAGUUUAGAGUAAGCUGACCCGCAAUCCUGCGUUAGGGGAUAGAGCAUGAUGGUGCUUGAAUUUUAGCCUUUCUUUUUAUAAAGCCGUAAUUCUAUGUAGGUUUAAUAUAGAUUUAAUGCUAAUAUAAAUGAUAGGCAGACCUAUAGGUGGUAUAGCGAACAGAACUUCGUCCUGAUG